rnacentral:lncRNA from 10 species
AGAUCGCUGAGCGAUACUUUCGGCAGCACCUCCUUGAUUCUCAGUUUUGCUGGAGGCCGCAACCAGGCCCGCGCCGCCACCAUGUUUCGAAAUCAGUAUGACAAUGAUGUCACUGUUUGGAGCCCCCAGGGCAGGAUUCAUCAAAUUGAAUAUGCAAUGGAAGCUGUUAAACAAGGUUCAGCCACAGUUGGUCUGAAAUCAAAAACUCAUGCAGUUUUGGUUGCAUUGAAAAGGGCGCAAUCAGAGCUUGCAGCUCAUCAGAAAAAAAUUCUCCAUGUUGACAACCAUAUUGGUAUCUCAAUUGCGGGGCUUACUGCUGAUGCUAGACUGUUAUGGAUAUGGGCCCUCACAUUUUCCAAACCUGUCCAUCUGCUAACUAUUUUGACUGCAGAGCCAUGUCCAUUGGAGCCCGUUCCCAAUCAGCUCGUACUUACUUGGAGAGACAUAUGUCUGAAUUUAUGGAGUGUAAGUGACAGCCUUGCUUUUUUUUUUUUUUUUUUUUGCCUUUUCCAGUCUAUAUAGUAAAUAAACAUAGUAUCCUAAAUGCAUAAAACUGUAAGUCUUAUAGAAAGAAU